rnacentral:lncRNA from 1 species
GAAAAUUCUAAAUAUGUUAGGUCAAUGAGUUAGCUGAAUGUAUAAGGCAAGUCUGUCAAACUUUAGAAGUUUAGAAGUAGAAACAGCUUCUUCCCCACUGCAGUCAGCCUAUUGGACCUACCUGUCGUUAAGCUCCGCGUUUUAGCUGUGUUUAUAUUGAUUUGGCAAUGGUGUAAUGUAUAUUUUAUGUCCACAACAACUUUUCAGUGUUGUCAUUUGAGACCAGGUGUCACGGAUCGGCAGGGAGAGGACUCAAAUGCACAGCGCCAGGACACGACGUAGCCGGUGAAAAAUGAGGGUUUAUUCCCAAAAUCAAAGUCACAAAACAGAUAGUGGACAAUAACAAAACGAUGACUUACAGGGUCGGUAAGGUGCUGCAGGAACGUGAGAGUCAGAAAUCAAAAACAACGAUCUGGCAAAUCAUGAUAGUGACCGGUGGUGCUUAAAUGUCCGGGAAGUAAUGAUGAAUGAAAAACAGGUGCGUGAACUGAAAACCGGAAGUAAGGUUAGCGUGGGUGUGAUGGACUGGUAAACCGGAAACUAUCAAACUAAAACAGGACGCGGAAACUGGAACCCAAAACAUGAUGAUGAGACAAAACAACAAAGUGCCUUCAAAAUAAAACUAGAAACGAAAACCUGACAGUACCCCUCCCUCUAGGGCGCCUUCCACGGCGCCCACGGAAGCCCCCCCCCCGAACCAGGGCGGGCGGAGGGUGGACACAGGAGGAGGGACUGAAUCCCUCCCCUUCCAGGCAGACAAGCAGGGUGGGUGGAGGGAGGACCGGAGGAGGGUCAAAACAAGAGUCCACAGAACCAAAACCGAAAGUCCAUGACAGGGAGAACAGAGUCCAGGAGUUCCUCACGAGGGUGGUGGCAGGAGAGUCCACCACGACGGCUGGCGAGGUCCGGGAGAGCAGGGCUGAGCCCAGCCCCCUCCCCGACGGAGAUGCUCCGGGGGUCCCAGGGUCGCGGCGGACGACGACGGCAGAGGCUUCGCCAUCGUCGUGGCCGGCGGGGACUCACCCCAGGCGAACGGCCGUGGCGGUGGCGGAGUCGAGGCGGACGGCGCCGAAGGAGGCAGCGCCAUCCAAUCAGCAGGCGAAGCCGAGGGCGAGGCCACCAGUCCGGCAGCCGAGACCAGGACGAGGCAGGAACCGAUGCAGGUGCGGCCGGAGCCGAGCCGCCAGGAACCGAUGCAGGUGCGGCCGGAGCCGAGCCGCCAGGAACCGAUGCAGGUGCGGCCGGAGCCGAGCCGCCAGGAACCGAUGCAGGUGCGGCCGGAGCCGGGCCGCCAGGAACCGAUGCAGGUGCGGCCGGAGCCGAGCCGCCAGGAACAGAUGCAGGUGCGGCCGGAGCCGGGCCGCCAGGAACAGAUGCAGGUGCGGCCGGAGCCGGGCCGCCAGGAACAGAUGCAGGUGCGGCCGGAGCCGAGCCGCCAGGAACAGAUGCAGGUGCGGCCGGGGCCGAGCCGCCAGGGACCGAUGCCGGUGCAGCGGGAGCUGCGACGGGAACGACCCCCUCCUGGAGGUCCGCCGGGACUGCGACGGGCGCGACCCCCUCCUGGAGGUCGACAGGAACUACGACGGUCGCGACCCCUCCUGGAGGUCCGCCGGGACUGCGACGGGGCGCGACCCCCUCCUGGAGGUCCGCCGGGACUGCGACGGGCGCGACCCCCUCCUGGAGGUCCGCCGGGACUGCGACGGGCGCGACCCCCUCCUGGAGGUCCGCCGGGACUGCGACGGGCGCGACCCCCUCCUGGGGGUCGACAGGAACUACGACGGGCGCGACCCCCUCCUGGAGGUCCGCCGGGACUGCGACGGGCGCGACCCCCUCCUGGAGGUCCGCCGAGACUGCGACGGGCGCGACCCCCUCCUGGAGGUCCGCCGAGACUGCGACGGGCGCGACCCCCUCCUGGAGGUCCGCCGGGACUGCGACGGGCGCGACCCCCUCCUGGAGGUCCGCCGGGACUGCGACGGGCGCGACCCCCUCCUGGAGGUUCCGCCGGGACUGCGACGGGCGCGACCCCCUCCUGGAGGUCCGCCGGGACUGCGACGGGCGCGACCCCCUCCUGGAGGUCCGCCGGGACUGCGGCUGGCGCGACCCCCUCCUGGAGGUGCGCGGGAACUGCAGCUGGCGCGACCUCCUCCUGGAGGUGCGCGGGAACUGCAGCUGGCGCGACCUCCUCCUGGAGGGACAGGGGCUGGAACGGCCGCCACAUGGCCGACAGGAACGGCAUCUACUUGGCCGACAGGGACAGGAACUAGAACGGCCGCAACAUGGCCGACAGGAACGGCAUCUACUUGGCCGACAGGGACAGGAACCGGGACUAGAACGGCCGCAACAUGGCCGACAGGAACGGCCGCAACAUGGCCGACAGGGACAGGAACGGCGUCUACUUGGCCGACAGGGACAGGAACAGGAACUAGAACGGCCUCAACAUGGCCGACAGGAACGGCCGCGACAUGGCCGACAGGAACUGGAACGGCAUCUACUCUGGAGCUGGCAUGGCUACUUGCCGCUGCCAAGCUCGACGGAGCAGACGUCGGGCCUGAUCGGGUGUGCAUAGCACCUGUACGACAGGUGGUGCCCCCUGGUUGGGACACGACCUGCGCGUGACUGAACUGAACUGGGACAGGAACGUGACUGGACUGUACUGGAACCUGGACAGGAACGUGACUCGACUGUACUGGAACCUGGACAGGAACGUGACUCGACUGAACUGGGGCCGGAACAGGACUCGACUGAACUGGGGCCGGAACAGGACUCGACUGAACUGGGGCCGGAACAGGACUCGACUGAACUGGGCUCGACUGGACUGGGCUCGACUGGACUGGGCUCGACUGGACUGGGCUCGACUGGACUGGGCUCGGCUGGACUGGGCUCGGCUGGACUGGGCUCGGCUGGACUGGGCUCGGCUGGCCUGGAGACUGAACAGCGCGCGGCUGGCCUGGAGACUGAACAGCGCGCGGCUGGCCUGGAGACUGAACAGCGCGCGGCUGGCCUGGAGACUGAACAGCGCGCGGCUGGCCUGGAGACUGAACAGCGCGCGGCUGGCCUGGAGACUGAACAGCGCGCGGCUGGCCUGGAGACUGAACAGCGCGCGGCUGGCCUGGAGACUGAACAGCGCGCGGCUGGCCUGGAGACUGAACAGCGCGCGGCUGGCCUGGAGACUGAACAGCGCGCGGCUGGCCUGGAGACUGAACAGAACGUGACUGGGCGGAGACCUGAGCAUGGCAAGGCUGAGCUGGAACCUGAACGAGGGGCGACUGAACUACGACUGGAGUCUGAACAGGACAUGGCUGCACUAGGGCUGGAGACUGAGCGUGGCUUGACUGACCUGACUGAGAGGUGGGACAUGAAGCGGCUGCUGGCUGCAGGCCCGGGAGUUGCAGGACCUCUCGCAGGACAGGUUCCCUCAGGACGAGAGCGGCUGCUUCCUCGAACAGUUGUUCUCUCGUGCCCUGGUCUGCUGCCGAAUCGGCGGUGUUCAUGAGGUGGGCGAAGAGAAACGCAACUGGAGGAGAGCAGAGGAGGUGGACCCGUCGGGCGACGCUGUCUGAGAUGCCUGCUAUCAGAGGGACACAGUCAGUCGGAGAAUCGAGGGGAUCCCCCGCGGAAGGGGAGAGCUGCUCGGGCACUGCGACCGAGGUCUCUGGGCCCUGAACCUCAGACCCGUGCCCUCGCCGACGUCGUCUGGGGCGCCUGCGGCUGACCGUCGCCUGAGGCGCUGAGAGCGGCAGGGGCUGGGUCUCUGUAGUGGGGUCCGUGUGGUGAACCAAACCGGCGGCGUCUAGAGCUUGGGUUGUAGCCGCAGGCGCGGCGACAGGAACGGGAACCGCCGGCGCGGCGACAGGAACGGGAACCGCCGGAGCGGCGACAGGAACGGGAACCGCCGGAGCGGCGACAGGAACGGAAACCGCCGGAGCGGCGUCAGGAACGGAAACCGCCGGAGCGGCGUCAGGAACGGGAACCGCCGGAGCGGCGUCAGGAACGGGAACCGUCGGAGCGGCGACAGAGGCGCGGCCAGGCGAUACGCGCAGAGCGCGUGUCAAGUCCCUCCGCGUUAGUCGGAGCCCCUCGAAAUACGCUUGCACCCCGGGGUACUCACGCCACCAGUAUUCGUCCUCCAGUAUCUCGAUGGCUAGUUCUACCACGGAGAGCCGAACCUGGGGGCUGGGUGCUUCUGCAUAUUUCCUGGCUAAGCCCUGGAGAUCGCCACGGAUGUCCUCCGGUAGAUUAAGGAAAACGAAAUCCAUUGCUCCGGCGAGCGACUUGUACACGGAGCCAAACAGAGAGGGGAAAAAGAAGAGACGGCGGCGGCUGACCGGGGUGAAGGCUGGGCGCUGGCUGGGUCCAAGUCUGGCCAGAUCGUUCUGUCACGGAUCGGCAGGGAGAGGACUCAAAUGCACAGCGCCAGGACACGACGUAGCCGGUGAAAAAUGAGGGUUUAUUCCCAAAAUCAAAGUCACAAAACAGAUAGUGGACAAUAACAAAACGAUGACUUACAGGGUCGGUAAGGUGCUGCAGGAACGUGAGAGUCAGAAAUCAAAAACAACGAUCUGGCAAAUCAUGAUAGUGACCGGUGGUGCUUAAAUGUCCGGGAAGUAAUGAUGAAUGAAAAACAGGUGCGUGAACUGAAAACCGGAAGUAAGGUUAGCGUGGGUGUGAUGGACUGGUAAACCGGAAACUAUCAAACUAAAACAGGACGCGGAAACUGGAACCCAAAACAUGAUGAUGAGACAAAACAACAAAGUGCCUUCAAAAUAAAA